rnacentral:rRNA from 1 species
UACGUAGGGGGCAAGCGUUGUCCGGAUUUAUUGGGCGUAAAGGGCGUGUAGGCGGUUAGGUAGGUCCGUUGUGAAAACUCGAGGCUCAACCUCGAGACGCCGAUGGAAACCAUCUGACUAGAGUCCGGAAGAGGAGAGUGGAAUUCCUGGUGUAGCGGUGAAAUGCGUAGAUAUCAGGAGGAACACCUGUGGCGAAAGCGGCUCACUGGACCAAAACUGACGCUGAUGCACGAAAGCUAGGGGAGCAAACAGG